rnacentral:rRNA from 1 species
GACGGACGCUGGCGGCGUGCUUAACACAUGCAAGUCGAACGGAAAGGCCCUGCUUUUGUGGGGUGCUCGAGUGGCGAACGGGUGAGUAACACGUGAGUAACCUGCCCUCGACUUUGGGAUAACUUCAGGAAACUGGGGCUAAUACCGGAUAGGAGCUCCUGCUGCAUGGUGGGGGUUGGAAAGUUUCGGCGGUUGGGGAUGGACUCGCGGCUUAUCAGCUUGUUGGUGGGGUAGUGGCUUACCAAGGCUUUGACGGGUAGCCGGCCUGAGAGGGUGACCGGCCACAUUGGGACUGAGAUACGGCCCAGACUCCUACGGGAGGCAGCAGUGGGGAAUAUUGCACAAUGGGCGGAAGCCUGAUGCAGCAACGCCGCGUGCGGGAUGACGGCCUUCGGGUUGUAAACCGCUUUCGCCUGUGACGAAGCGUGAGUGACGGUAAUGGGUAAAGAAGCACCGGCUAACUACGUG